AGCACCACAACAGGUGGAGCCUGCGGUUUAAUCGGACUCAACGCCGGGAAACUCACCAGAUAAGACAGCUGAAUGAUAGUCGGGCUGAAGACUCUACUUGACUAGCUGAGAGGAGGUGCAUGGCCGUCGUCAGUUCGUACUGUGAAGCAUCCUGUUAAGUCAGGCAACAAGCGAGACCCACGCCAACAGUUGCCAGCUCGUCCUCCGGGAUGGUGGGGACACUGUUGGGACCGCCUCUGCUAAAGAGGAGGAAGGAAUGGGCAACGGUAGGUCAGCAUGCCCCGAAUUAUCUGGGCUACACGCGGGCUACAAUGGGUGGGACAAUGGGUAUCGACACCGAAAGGUGAAGGCAAUCUCCUAAACCCAUCCGUAGUUCGGAUUGUGGGCUGCAACUCGCCCACAUGAGGCUGGAAUCUGUAGUAAUCGUGUCUCAAAAUGGCACGGUGAAUAUGUCCCUGCUCCUU
rnacentral:rRNA from 1 species